GGGAAUCUCCUUUUGAGCGGGGGACAACAUUUGGAAACGAAUGCUAAUACCGCAUAAUAACUUUAAACACAAGUUUUAAGUUUGAAAGAUGCAAUCGCAUCACUCAAAGAUGAUCCCGCGUUGUAUUAGCUAGUUGGUGAGGUAAAGGCUCACCAAGGCGAUGAUACAUAGCCGACCUGAGAGGGUGAUCGGCCACAUUGGGACUGAGACACGGCCCAAACUCUUACGGGAGGCAGCAGUAGGGAAUCUUCGGCAAUGGACGAAAGUCUGACCGAGCAACGCCGCGUGAGUGAAGAAGGUUUUCGGAUCGUAAAACUCUGUUGGUAGAGAAGAACGUUGGUGAGAGUGGAAAGCUCAUCAAGUGACGGUAACUACCCAGAAAGGGACGGCUAACUACGUGCCAGCAGCCGCGGUAAUACGUAGGUCCCGAGCGUUGUCCGGAUUUAUUGGGCGUAAAGCGAGCGCAGGUGGUUUAUUAAGUCUGGUGUAAAAGGCAGUGGCUCAACCAUGUAUGCAUUGGAAAC
rnacentral:rRNA from 2 species